rnacentral:rRNA from 1 species
AUUCCCUACGGGAGGCAGCAGUGAGGAAUAUUGGUCAAUGGGCGCGAGCCUGAACCAGCCAAGUAGCGUGAAGGAUGACUGCCCUACGGGUUGUAAACUUCUUUUAUAAAGGAAUAAAGUGAGGCACGUGUGCCUUUUUGUAUGUACUUUAUGAAUAAGGAUCGGCUAACUCCGUGCCAGCAGCCGCGGUAAUACGGAGGAUCCGAGCGUUAUCCGGAUUUAUUGGGUUUAAAGGGAGCGUAGAUGGGUUGUUAAGUCAGUUGUGAAAGUUUGCGGCUCAACCGGAGAAUUGCAUCAGAAACUGU